rnacentral:rRNA from 1 species
GUUGAUCCUGCGGGAGGUUGCUGCUAUUGGGAUUCGACUAAGCCAUGCAAGUCUGGGGACUUCGGUCACCGGCGAAAUGCUCAGUAACACGUCGAUAAUCUGCCCUUAGGUCUAGGAUAACCUCGGGAAACUGAGGCUAAGACUGGAUAAGGAACUUCUUCUGGAAAGAUUUGUUCUUUAAAAGUAAUGCCUAAGGAUGAGUUGGCGGCGGAUUAGAUUGUUGGUGGGGUAAAGGCCCACCAAGUCAAAGAUCCGUAGGGGCCUUGAGAGAGGUAGCCCCGAGAAGGGUACUGAGACACUGACCCUAGCCCUACGGGGUGCAGCAGGCGCGGAACCUUUACAAUGCACGCAAGUGUGAUAAGGGAAUCCUGAGUGCUUAUGCUUUGCAUAGGCUUUUGCCAAGUGUAAAUAACUUGGCGAAUAAGUGGUGGGAAAGACUGGUGCCAGCCGCCGCGGUAACACCAGCGCCACAAGUGGCAACCGUUUUUAUUGGGCCUAAAGCGUUCGUAGCCGGUUUGUUAAAUCUUUUGUGAAAUCGUAAAGCUUAACUUAACGACGUGCAGAAGAGACUGACAAACUAGGGACCAGGAGGGGCUAGAAGUAUUUCUGGGGGAGCGGUAAAAUGCAGUAAUCCUAGAAAGACUACCUGUGGCGAAGGCGUCUAGCUAGAAUGGAUCCGACGGUGAGGAGGAAAGCCAGGGGAGCAAACCGGAUUAGAUACCCGAGUAGUCCUGGCUGUAAACUCUGCGAGCUAGGUGUUGCAUAUUCUCCGUGAAUGUGCAGUAUCGUAAUGAAGAUGUUAAGCUCGCCGCCUGGGGAGUACGGUCGCAAGACUGAAACUUAAAGGAAUUGGCGGGGGAGCACCACAAGGGGUGCGGCGUGCGGUUUAAUCUAAUUCAACACAGAGAAUCUCACCAGAGGCGACGGCAGAAUGAAGGUCAGCUUGAAGAGUUUACCAGACAAGCCGAGAGGUAGUGCAUGGCCGCCGUCAGCUCGUGCUGUAAAGUGUCCUGUUAAGUCAGGCAACGAGCGAGACCUGUGCCUACAAUUGCUAGCAACUUCAUCUGAAGGAUUGAGCACAUUGUGGGGACUGCCUUUGUAAAAAGGAGGAAGGUGCAGGCUACGGUAGGUCUGUAUGCUCCGAAUCUUCUGGGCUACACGCGCGCAACAAUGGUAGGGACAACGGGACACAACUCCGAAAGGAGAAGUUAAUCCUCUAAACCCUAUCUUAGUUCAGAUUGAGGGUUGUAACUCACCCUCAUGACGAUGGAAUCCCUAGUAAUCGUGUGUCAUCAGCAGACGGUGAAUAUGUCCCUGCUCCUUGCACACACCGCCCGUCAAACCAUCCGAGCAGGGUCUAGAUGAGGCUCACCUUUUUAGGUAAUUCGAAUCUAGGCUCAGUGAGGGGGGUUAAGUCGUCACAAGGUA